rnacentral:rRNA from 1 species
CUUGGCUCUCAGAGACGAUGAAGGACGUGUUAAGCUGCGAAAAGCUACAGGGAGCUGCACAAGAGCUUUGAUCUGUAGAUAUCCGAAUGGGGCAACCCACUUAGUUGAAGACUAAGUAUCCGCCGUAAGGUGGAGGUGAACCCGGAGAACUGAAACAUCUAAGUACCCGGAGGAAGAGAAAACAAUUAGUGAUUCCGUUAGUAGUGGCGAGCGGACGCGGAACAGCCCAAACCACUUUGGUUACGGCCAGAGUGGGGUUGUAGGACUGCGACAUCUUAACUAAAAUGAAUUGGAACGACUUGGGAAAGUCGGCCGUAGAGGGUGAGAGCCCCGUACAGGUAAGUUUUAGAGCGGUAGCAGUAUCCUGAGUAGGGCGGGGCAGGUGAAACCCCGUUUGAAUCUACCGGCACCAUCCGGUAAGGCUAAAUACUCCUGAGAGACCGAUAGUGAACAAGUACCGUGAGGGAAAGGUGAAAAGUACCCUGAA